AUUGAACGCUGGCGGCAUGCCUUACACAUGCAAGUCGAACGGUAACGCGGGGCAACCCGGCGACGAGUGGCGAACGGGUGAGUGAUGCAUCGGAACGUGCCCAGUAGUGGGGGAUAGCCCGGCGAAAGCCGGAUUAAUCCCGCAUACGACCUACGGGUGAAAGCGGGGGACCGUAAGGCCUCGCGCUAUUGGAGCGGCCGAUGUCAGAUUAGGUUGUUGGUGGGGUAAAGGCCUACCAAGCCGACGAUCUGUAGCUGGUCUGAGAGGACGACCAGCCACACUGGGACUGAGACACGGCCCAGACUCCUACGGGAGGCAGCAGUGGGGAAUUUUGGACAAUGGGGGCAACCCUGAUCCAGCCAUGCCGCGUGCGGGAAGAAGGCCUUCGGGUUGUAAACCGCUUUUGUCAGGGAAGAAACGCUCUGAGUUAAUACCUCGGGGUAAUGACGGUACCUGAAGAAUAAGCACCGGCUAACUACGUGCCAGCCGCCGCCGUAAGAC
rnacentral:rRNA from 1 species